UACGUAGGGGCGCAAGCGUGUCCGGUAAUUAUUGGGCGUAAAGAGCUCGUAGGCGGCUUGUCAACGUCGGGAUGUGAAAGACCCCGAGGCUUAACCCUCGGGGUACUGCAUUCGAUACGGGCUAGCUGAGAGUGUGGUAGGGGAGAUCGGAAUUCCUGGUGUAGCGGUGAAAUGCGCCAGAUAUCAGGAGGAACACCGGUGGCGAAGGCGGAUCUCUGGGCCGAUUACUGACGCUGGAGGAGCGAAAGCCGUGGGGAGCGAACAGG
rnacentral:rRNA from 1 species